rnacentral:rRNA from 1 species
AUUGAACGCUGGCGGCAGGCCUAACACAUGCAAGUCGAGCGAGCGGCGGACGGGUGAGUAAUGUAUGGGGACUGCCCGAUAGAGGGGGAUAACUACUGGAAACGGUAGCUAAUACCGCAUACUAUCGGAUAAUCCAUAUGGGAUUAGCUAGUAGGUGAGGUAAUGGCUUACCUAGGCGACGAUCCCUAGCUGUUCUGUGAGGAGGAUCAGCCGCACGGGGACUGAGGCACGGCGCAGGCUCCUACGGAGGGAGCAGUGGGGAAUGUUGAGCAAUGGGGGCAAGCCUGGUGCGACCAGGCCGGGUGUAUGAGGAGGGCCCUAGGGUUGUAAAGUACUUUCGGUCGGGAGGCGUUACCGAAGGAAGAAACACCGGCUAACUCCGUGCCAGCCGACGCGGUAAUUC